rnacentral:rRNA from 1 species
UACGUAGGGGGCGAGCGUUGUCCGGAUUUAUUGGGCGUAAAGAGCUCGUAGGCGGCUUGGCAAGUCGGGUGUGAAACCUCCAGGCUCAACCUGGAGACGCCACUCGAUACUGCUAUGGCUAGAGUCCGGUAGGGGACCACGGAAUUCCUGGUGUAGCGGUGAAAUGCGCAGAUAUCAGGAGGAACACCAGUAGCGAAGGCGGCUCGCUGGGCCAUUCCUGACGCUGAGACGCGAAAGCUAGGGGAGCGAACAGG